rnacentral:tRNA from 1 species
UGCAUCGGCCGGGAAUCGAACCUGGGCCGCCCGCGUGGCAGGCAGCAUUCUACCACUGAACCACCGAUGG